rnacentral:rRNA from 1 species
GUUCGAGGUGGAAGCGUAGCGAUACGUGGAGCUGACGAAUACUAAUCGAUCGAAGACUUAAUCAA